GACGGAGGGGGCUAGCGUUGUUCGGAAUUACUGGGCGUAAAGCGUGCGUAGGCGGCCUUUCAAGUUGGGUGUGAAAGCCCGGGGCUCAACCCCGGAAAUGCGCCCAAGACUGUUUGGCUAGAGUCUCGGAGAGGUGAGUGGAACUCCCAGUGUAGAGGUGAAAUUCGUAGAGAUGACAUAGAACACCCAUUGCGAAGGCAGCUUACUACGCCUAUAUUGACGCUGAGGCACGAAAGCGUGGGGAUCAAACAGG
rnacentral:rRNA from 1 species